AGCAGCCGCGGUAAUUCCAGCUCCAAUAGCGUAUAUUAAAGUUGUUGCAGUUAAAAAGCUCGUAGUUGAAUUUCGGGAUUGGCGUAUCGGUCGUGCCUCACGGGGUAUGAACUGGUGCAGUCAAUUUCUCACCUUCUGGAGAACCGCGAUGUCCUUAAUUGGAUGCCGCGGGGAACCAGGACCUUUACUUUGAAAAAUUAGAGUGUUUAAAGCAGGCAUUUUUGCUUGAAUACAUUAGCAUGGAAUAAUAAAAUAGGACGGCAUGGUUCUAUUUUGUUGGUUUCUAGGACCACCGUAAUGAUUAAUAGGGAUAGUUGGGGGCAUUAGUAUUCAAUUGUCAGAGGUGAAAUUCUUGGAUUUAUUGAAGACUAACUACUGCGAAAGCAUUUGCCAAGGAUGUUUUCAUUAAUCAAGAACGAAAGUUAGGGGAUCGAAGACGAUCAGAUACCGUCGUAGUCUUAACCAUAAACUAUGCCGACUAGGAAUCAGACGAUGUUAAUUUUUAAUGACUCGUUUGGCA
rnacentral:misc_RNA from 1 species